rnacentral:misc_RNA from 1 species
CUCACCAAGAGACUAGCUACCAUAUAGUAACAAGGAUCAUGCCAGGCCCUUCCUCCCUUGCUUCUUUUGCUAAGAGAUUACAAGGCAAGGCGGCCUUAAUAACUGGCGGCGCUAGCGGAAUCGGCGAGACCACUGCAAGACUCUUUGCCCGGAAUGGAGCCAAGGUGGUAAUUGCAGAUGUCCAAUCCGAGUUGGGUCACUCAGUAUCGAAGAAAAUGGAGUCAGAAACUGGACAACCAGUUUCCUACGUCCACUGCGAUGUUACCAAAGAAUCAGAUAUAGAAAACGCGGUGAACGCAGUCGUUUCAAAGCAUGGAAAGCUUGACAUAAUGUUCAACAACGCAGGAAUCACAGGGAAAUACGAU